rnacentral:rRNA from 1 species
UACGUAGGGAGCAAGCGUUAUCCGGAUUUAUUGGGUGUAAAGGGUGCGUAGACGGGAUAACAAGUUAGUUGUGAAAACCCUCGGCUCAACUGAGGAACUGCAACUAAAACUAUUAUUCUUGAGUGCAGGAGGGGAAAGUGGAAUUCCUAGUGUAGCGGUGAAAUGCGUAGAUAUUAGGAAGAACACCAGUGGCGAAGGCGACUUUCUGGACUGUAACUGACGUUGAGGCACGAAAGUGUGGGGAGCAAACAGG